rnacentral:RNase_P_RNA from 1 species
CGAUGGAUCCGGGUAAUCGCUUCCCGAUUUAUCGGGGAGAGGAAAGUCCGAACACCCACCAGCACCGUGCUUCCUAACAGGAAGGUCUUCCGGUCCGCCGGGGGAACAGAAAGUGCCACAGAAAAUAUACCGCCCCGGCUUGCCGGGGUAAGGGUGAAAAGGCGGGGUAAGAGCCCACCGGUCCGGAUGGUGACAUCCGUUCGCAUGGUAAACCUCACGGGGUGCAAGAUCAAGCAGGCAGUAUGUACCGCUGGUUAUGACGCUGUCGGGUAGAUCGCAAGAUCCCGGUAGUGAUACCGGGACCAGAUAAAUGAUUACCGUCCCGCUAACCCGGGAUACAGAAUUCGGCUUACAGGGUCUGUCGCAGG